AGUAACACGUGGAUAACCUACCUAUAAGACUGGGAUAACUUCGGGAAACCGGAGCUAAUACUGGAUAAUAUUUUGAACCGCAUGGUUCAAAAGUGAAAGACGGUCUUGCUGUCACUUAUAGAUGGAUCCGCGCUGCAUUAGCUAGUUGGUAAGGUAACGGCUUACCAAGGCAACGAUUCAUAGCCGACCUGAGAGGGUGAUCGGCCACACUGGAACUGAGACACGGUCCAG
rnacentral:rRNA from 1 species